GAUGAACGCUAGCUACAGGCUUAACACAUGCAAGUCGAGGGGAAACGGCAUCGAAAGCUUGCUUUUGAUGGGCGUCGACCGGCGCACGGGUGAGUAACGCGUAUCCAACCUGCCCAUCACUUGGGAAUAACCUUGCGAAAGUAAGACUAAUGCCCAAUGACAUCCCACGAAGGCAUCCGAAUGGGAUUAAAGAUUUAUCGGUGAUGGAUGGGGAUGCGUCUGAUUAGCUUGUUGGCGGGGUGACGGCCCACCAAGGCAACGAUCAGUAGGGGUUCUGAGAGGAAGGUCCCCCACAUUGGAACUGAGACACGGUCCAAACUCCUACGGGAGGCAGCAGUGAGGAAUAUUGGUCAAUGGGCGAGAGCCUGAACCAGCCAAGUAGCGUGCAGGAUGACGGCCCUAUGGGUUGUAAACUGCUUUUAUAAGGGAAUAAAGUGGGUAACGUGUGACUUUUUGCAUGUACCUUAUGAAUAAGGACCGGCUAAUUCCGUG
rnacentral:rRNA from 1 species